AUUGAACGCUGGCGGCAGGCCUAACACAUGCAAGUCGAGCGGAUGAAGGGAGCUUGCUCCUGAAUUCAGCGGCGGACGGGUGAGUAAUGCCUAGGAAUCUGCCUGGUAGUGGGGGAUAACGUCCGGAGACGGGCGCUAAUACCGCAUACGUCCUGAGGGAGAAAGUGGGGGAUCUUCGGACCUCACGCUAUCAGAUGAGCCUAGGUCGGAUUAGCUAGUUGGUGGGGUAAAGGCCUACCAAGGCGACGAUCCGUAACUGGCCUGAGAGGAUGAUCAGUCACACUGGAACUGAGACACGGUCCAGACUCCUACGGGAGGCAGCAGUGGGGAAUAUUGGACAAUGGGCGAAAGCCUGAUCCAGCCAUGCCGCGUGUGUGAAGAAGGUCUUCGGAUUGUAAAGCACUUUAAGUUGGGAGGAAGGGCAGUAAGUUAAUACCUUGCUGUUUUGACGUUACCGACAGAAUAAGCACCGGCUAACUUCGUG
rnacentral:rRNA from 1 species